ACGCUCGACACCUACGGAGGCAGCAGUGGGGAAUAUUGCACAAUGGGGGAAACCCUGAUGCAGCGACGCCGCGUGGAGGAAGAAGGUCUUCGGAUUGUAAACUCCUGUUGUUGGGGAAAAAGAGGAUGGUACCCAACAAGGAAGUGACGGCUAACUACGUGCCAUCAGCCGCGGUAAUCUGAGCGGGCUGGCAAGGC
rnacentral:rRNA from 1 species